rnacentral:rRNA from 1 species
GUGGGGAAUAUUGGACAAUGGGGGAAACCCUGAUCCAGCGACGCCGCGUGGGUGAAGAAGGCCUGCGGGUUGUAAAGCCCUUUCGGUAGGGACGAAAGCUCUCGACCUAACACGUCGGGAGGUUGACUUAACCUACAAAAGAAGCACCGGCUAACUCUGUGCCAGCAGCCGCGGUAAUACAGAGGGUGCGAGCGUUAAUCGGAAUUACUGGGCGUAAAGCGCACGUAGGCGGCUUGGUAUGUCGGGUGUGAAAUCCCCGGGCUCAACCUGGGAACUGCAUCCGAAACUGCCUUGCUCGAGUAUGGGAGAGGGAAGUGGAAUUUCCGGUGUAGCGGUGAAAUGCGUAGAUAUCGGAAGGAACAUCAGUGGCGAAGGCGACUUCCUGGACCAAUACUGACGCUCAGGUGCGAAAGCGUGGGGAGCAAACAGGAUUAGAUACCCCAGUAGUCC